GGAAGAUGAGCGCGCCCGGUGGCGCGGCUGGACUUCAAAUCCAGGCGGGGGCGCAACACGUCCCAGGAGGGUUCGACUCCCUUCAUCUUCCGCCA
rnacentral:tRNA from 1 species